rnacentral:tRNA from 1 species
GGCUAUGUAGCUCAGUAGUAGAGCAUUUGCCUAGCAUGCACAAGGCCCUGGGUUCAAUCCCCAGAUCCA